rnacentral:lncRNA from 1 species
UUCACCUCUCAGUAGGCAGACUGAGCCUAUUUUUCUAGAAAAGGGUUAAAACUAGGAAGAAAAUAGUGCUAAGGCUUGAACAUGUUGAGCCCAACCUCAGAUCUAAGAGAAUGCUGGUAGAGGAGGUAAGAAGAGAAGAAAGGGCCAAAUGAUCCAGUUCUAAGUUUCAAUCUUUUUAUUAUUAAUAUUAUUGUAAAGAUAAUAAAGUCUUAAGGUUAACUUCUAAAAAAAAAAAUACCCCAAUACUGCAGAUUCCUGGUCAUUCUCCUUCCUCAAAGGACCCUUUUAGUUUGGUGAGUAUACUUCUCUCCACAAAUCAGUGAAAGAUGUGCUUACCCCAACUGGGGCAAAGGAUC